AUUGAACGCUGGCGGCAGGCUUAACACAUGCAAGUCGAGCGAGCGGCGGACGGGUGAGUAAUGUCUGGGAAACUGCCUGAUGGAGGGGGAUAACUAAUGGAACCGGUAGCUAAUCCCGCAUACCAUCAGAUGUUCUCUGAUGGGAUUAGCUAGUAGGUGGGGUAAUGGCUCACCUAGGCGACGAUCCCUAGCUGGUCUGAGAGGGUGACCGGCCACACUGGAACUGAGACACGGUCCAGACUCCUACGGGAGGCAGCAGUGGGGAAUAUUGCACAAUGGGCGAAAGCCUGAUGCAGCCAUGCCGCGUGUGUGAAGAAGGCCUUCGGGUUGUAAAGCACUUUCAGCGAGGAGGCGUUACUCGCAGAGGAAGCACCGGCUAACUCCGUGCCAGCAGCCGCGGUAAUAC
rnacentral:rRNA from 1 species